UACAGAGGGGGCAAGCGUUGUUCGGAAUUACUGGGCGUAAAGGGCGCGUAGGCGGCCUUCUAAGUCGAACGUGAAAUCCCCGGGCUCAACCCGGGAACUGCGUCCGAUACUGGAAGGCUUGAAUCCGGGAGAGGGAUGCGGAAUUCCAGGUGUAGCGGUGAAAUGCGUAGAUAUCAGGAGGAACACCGGUGGUGUAGACGGCUUACUGGACCACGACUGACACUGAGGCACGAAAGCGUGGGUAGCAAACAGG
rnacentral:rRNA from 1 species